UGAACGUGCUUGAUCCAAACGUGACCCAAACUAUUUUAAUAAUUAAAACACUGAGGUAACGUAAAGUAUCUAUUUUAAGGGGAGUGAAUUUAAUGUUCUCAAACCAUGAGACCUCGAAAAAAAUAGGUUAUACUAAAAAAUAUUUUAAAAUUCAACCAAAAAAAAAGGAGCCAAAAUCUUAUUACAAUGUUACGCAAAUAUGACUUCAAUAUUGUACAUUAAACUGGAUUCAGACUAAAGUGAUUCUUUAUUAUCCUCUGUACAUCAUCAAAGUAGUAGUAUCUCUGGUAGUAUCAUCGAAGAUAUCUGUUCUAAUAAGUGGAGUUAAAGUGCUGAAAUUUCCUACAAUAUAGUAUUUAUAUAGGUAUUUAUGUAGGCUCUUCUAUAAUCAUUUAUUGUGUAUUUUUUAAGAGAAAGGUAUUUUUUUAGAAUUAAUAGGUUCGAGAAUUAUCUAGACUUGGUGGUUCAGGAGUAGCAAUGAAAUUGCACAAAAAUAUUCUUGGGAUGGGGCCAACCAGAAGAGAAGUUUGAAAUCAUUGUUAGUGGCCAAAAGCAAUUUUAGACUCCAUGAAAGGUCAAUUUCAAGAGUCAAAAGAAACCGAAAUUAUCAAUAUAAUUAAAAUAUGGCUUGUAAAAGCAAAAGAAAGAUCAACAAAACAAAGAAGGGUAGACAAGAGAAUAUAAAAACAUAGACAUAGAAGAUAAUAUCAAUGUAUAUUGUUAUAUUAAAAUAUUUUUAAUUAAUAAACAUAUAUUACUCAAGUUCGUCUUUAUCCUUACCUAUUAUUUUUAACCGUUCUAUUUAUUACUUA